UGGGGAAUAUUGCACAAUGGGGGAAACCCUGAUGCAGCGACGCCGCGUGAACGAAGAAGGUAUUCGUAUCGUAAAGUUCUGUCCUAUGGGAAGAUAAUGACAGUACCAUAGAAGAAAGCUCCGGCUAAAUACGUGCCAGCAGCCGCGGUAAUACGUAUGGAGCGAGCGUUGUCCGGAAUUAUUGGGCGUAAAGGGUACGCAGACAGUUUAAUAAGUCGAAUGUUAAAGAUCGGGGCUCAACCCCGUAAAGCAUUGGAAACUGAUAAACUUGAGUAGUGGAGAGGAAAGUGGAAUUCCUAGUGUAGUGGUGAAAUACGUAGAUAUUAGGAGGAAUACCAGUAGCGAAGGCGACUUUCUGGACACAAACUGACGCUGAGGUACGAAAGCGUGGGGAGCAAACAGG
rnacentral:rRNA from 1 species